UACAGAGGUCUCAAGCGUUGUUCGGAAUUACUGGGCGUAAAGGGCGCGUAGGCGGCCUGUUAAGUCGAACGUGAAAUCCCCGGGCUCAACCCGGGAACUGCGUCCGAUACUGGCAGGCUUGAAUCCGGGAGAGGGAUGCGGAAUUCCAGGUGUAGCGGUGAAAUGCGUAGAUAUCUGGAGGAACACCGGUGGCGAAGGCGGCAUCCUGGACCGGCAUUGACGCUGAGGCGCGAAAGCCAGGGGAGCAAACGGG
rnacentral:rRNA from 1 species